rnacentral:lncRNA from 1 species
UGGUGCUUUCCUCCAUAUCCUUGGAGUUCAGGAGCGCAUGGUUAAUUCUGAAAACUAUCCAGUCAAAGAGGGCACUGUACAAUGAUUUCGCCAUGGAGUUUCGCACGGUCACAGCCUCUGCUAGCUUGUAGGGCAAGAUGAGCUUCUCUCCCACUGUCACUGUCUUUCUGGUAACCAAGGCUUCAAACAGCAUCUCUUCCUUCAC